rnacentral:lncRNA from 1 species
AUUAACCCGAAUGGAAGAAACUUCUUCCCCAAUAGCUUCCAUCUAAGAUGAAGCCUCAGGUCCUGAGACGGCCUCAUGAUAGGUCAUGGGGAUGCCAACGUCAACAAGGUCACAAAAGUCAUCAAGCUCUAUAGCAUCUGCUUCAACAUUUUCCUGGACUUUCAACGAGGGCCGACGUUCCCGGGGGUGAUCAAGAACUG